AUAAGAAGGGGGACGACUCCUAAUAAACCUCCAAACCUAAAUCUAAACUUCUCCUCUAGGCCGCCACUCUCCAUUUCCGUUUUCUAAUUUCUUUCUUCCACACUGGUCGACGUUACUUAAAGCCGCGAGAAAGACAAGGAGUAGUAAGAGGGUAUCCCCACUACUUCUCAUUUAUGGACAAAAUUUUUACCGUGUUGGCUUGUCUCUUAAAUCGUAGGGUUUUCUGAUUUUCUUACACCUACUUGAGUUUGGGAUUUUAAGUUCAAUUUUACGAGUUAUUCCAGCAAUUUGAUAGAUAUUAUGUAUUUUUUUUAUAAGUAGUAAAUGCGAUUUUAAAGAUUUGAUAGGUUUUGUGCCUUACACCUAAUUGACUUGGGUUUCUACUUUAAUUGUUUGUUUUUUAUUUAUAGGGGGUUUAAGAGAAAAGUGCCUUUGAGAAAUUUCAAUCUCUUCUAGUAUCAAAGUGUAAGUUUUACUUUUUUUUUUCUUUUCAUCUCCUUAAGUUUUAUGAUAUUUAUUUAAAUGCUUUUUCUUUUGUCUUCUGUGUUGGAAAAAAGUUUAGAUUUUUUUCACUUGAUUUAUGGCUAAGUUUUUUCUUUUUCCAUAAUUUAUUAAUUUUUUAAUUACUAAGCGUAAUUUCAUCUAAUUCGGUAUAUAUUUUGAUAAUUCAAAUAUAAAUUUCUCACAAGAUCAUAUUAUUUCAUUAUUUCAGUAUAGUGAUGACGAAGAGUGCUUCAUAUAUUCUUGGAUGCAUGAAGAUUAAGGGUGCGAUGAGGAUGACAACAUGAAUCAUCAAACAAACACUUACAUUCAUUUAAUGUGAAAUUCUGUACAUUAUUUCUGAUCUCUAUUACAAUCAAGCCUCACAUUGGCUAGUUCUUUUAUUCAAAUUUUAGUUAUUGUAGAAGACUUAUCUACUGCAGAUGCUAUUAAUUGAUUAGUACAAAUGUGUAUUUUGAAAUUCAUUUUGUAAAUUUUUUUAAAUACCAAUUUGUGCAGAAUAAAUUAUUUCUCAAG
rnacentral:lncRNA from 1 species